rnacentral:rRNA from 1 species
AAUUAAUAUAAUUGUUUUAAUAAGAAAGAGUUUAAUUAGUUUAAAUUAAAUAAAUUUUUAUCAGUGUAAAAUAAAUUGAUAAGAUAUUUUUUACUAUAGUUUAUUAGUAUUGUGAGAGAAAUUUCAAUAAUUUAUAGUUAUUAAAAGUUUGUUUUAAUUACUGUAUCUUGUGUAUCAGAGUAUAUUGAAAUGAAUUAUUUAAUUUUUAUUCUCGAAUUUAAAAGAGUUAAUUGAAUAUAUUAGUUAUUGUUUCAUAAAUAUUAAAAAUGUUUAAUUGGUAAUGAAAUGUUAUUCGUUUUUAAGGAUAUCUAGUUUUUUAAUAAAUGAAUUUAAUUCAGAUUCUUUAAUUUAUUUUAUAUUUUAUAAUUAAAAUAUUUUAAAGUUUUAAUUUUAAAAGGGAUGAGCUUUUUAAAAUAUUAUUAUAAUAAUAAGGAUUUUGAGGAUUUUAUUAAUUUAGAGUUUGUUAAUAGUUAAAGGAUGUUAAAAUUUAUUUCUUUAUUUAUUUGAUUUUUUGUUUGUUUAAAGUUUAUAUUAAGAUAUUAUUUAUAAUUAUGAAUUUUUAGUAAAUAUUAUUUAAUUAGUAAAAUAAUAAAUUAUAUUAUCAUUUUUGUUUGGUUGUUUAAUAUAAAGAAUUAGGCAAAUAUUUUGCUCGCCUGUUUAUUAAAAACAUGGUUUCUUGAAUAAUUUAUAAGAGAUUUAACCUGCCCACUGAAAAGUUUUUGAAGGGCCGCAGUAUUUUGACUGUGCAAAGGUAGCAUAAUCAUUAGUCUUUUAAUUGAAGGCUAGUAUGAAUGGUUGGACGAGGUGAAAUCUGUUUUAUGUUAAUUAUAUUGAAUUUGGAUUUUAAGUAAAAAUACUUAAAUAAUAUUAAGGGACGAGAAGACCCUAUAGAGUUUAAUAUUUUAAGUUUUAAUUAAGUUAAGUUUUAAUUUUUGGUUAUUAUUUAUAAAUAUUUAAUUGGGGUGAUUAAAAGAUAAAUAAAACUCUUUUUUAAAAUUAAUAAUUUUAUUAAUUUAUUGAUCCAUAAAUUAUGAUUAUAAGAUUAAAUUACCUUAGGGAUAACAGCAUAAUUUUUUUUAAGAGUUCUUAUCGAAAAAAAAGAUUGUGACCUCGAUGUUGGAUUAAGAUAAAUAUUGGGUGUAGAUGUUCAAUUAUUAGGUCUGUUCGACCUUUAAAUUCUUACAUGAUCUGAGUUUAAACCGGCGUGAGCCAGGUUGGUUUCUAUCUUUAAUAUAAUUAAAUUCUUUAGUACGAGAGGACCAAGAAUUUAAAAUAAUUUUAUAAUUAUGAAUUUUAUUAAUAUUUA